UACGAAGGGGGCUAGCGUUGUUCGGAAUCACUGGGCGUAAAGGGUGCGUAGGCGGCGGGGUAAGUCAGGUGUGAAAUCUCGGGGCUCAACCCCGAAACUGCACUUGAUACUGCCUCGCUUGAGUACUGGAGAGGAGACUGGAAUUUACGGUGUAGCAGUGAAAUGCGUAGAUAUCGUAAGGAAGACCAGUGGCGAAGGCGAGUCUCUGGACAGUUACUGACGCUGAGGCACGAAGGCCAGGGGAGCAAACGGG
rnacentral:rRNA from 1 species